rnacentral:rRNA from 1 species
CAGCGCGAUCUUAAUCCCGUGGGCGCAAUGAGAGUGAAGGGGAGGCCGGCCCCGGCCGGCCUCCCCGAGGGAAGACGGGGCCGUCGUCCUAACGGGCGCGGUCCCUGCACUCCCGGGGCGUCUCGAUCUCUCCGCAAGGCGAGGCGAGGCGCACCCAGAGCGUACACGUUGGGACCCGAAAGAUGGUGAACUAUGCCUGGCCAGGACGAAGUCAGGGGAAACCCUGAUGGAGGUCCGCAGCGAUUCUGACGUGCAAAUCGAUCGUCUGAGCUGGGUAUAGGGGCGAAAGACUAAUCGAACCAUCUAGUAGCUGGUUCCCUCCGAAGUUUCCCUCAGGAUAGCUGGCGCUCAGGAUUACUGAGUCUCAUGCGGUAAAGCGAAUGAUUAGAGGCCUUGGGGCCGAAACGACCUCAACCUAUUCUCAAACUUUAAAUGUGUGAGAUCUCCGGCCUGCUCGUAAGAUGAGGCCGGAGCCGUUUUAAUGGAUCGGAGUGCCAAGUGGGCCAAUUUUGGUAAGCAGAACUGGC